GACGAACGCUGGCGGCGUGCUUAACACAUGCAAGUCGAGCGAUGAAGCACCUUCGGGUGUGGAUUAGCGGCGAACGGGUGAGGAACACGUGAGGAAUCUGCCUUUCACUUCGGGAUAACUCCGGGAAACCGGGGCUAAUACCGGAUAUUUUCAACUGGCGGCAUCGCCGGUUGAAGAAAGUUUUUCGGUGAAAGAUGACCUCGCGGCCUAUCAGCUUGUUGGUGAGGUAAUGGCUCACCAAGGCGACGACGGGUAGCCGGCCUGAGAGGGCGACCGGCCACCCUGGGAAUGAGACACGGGCCAGACUCCUACGGGAGGCAGCAGUGGGGAAUAUUGGGCAAUGGAGGAAACUCUGACCCAGCGACGCCGCGUGAGGGAUGAAGGCCUUCGGGUUGUAAACCUCUUUCAGCAGGGAAUAAGCGAAAGUGAAGGUACCUGCAGAAGAAGCACCGGCUAACUAUGUGCCAGCAGCCGCGGUAA
rnacentral:rRNA from 1 species